rnacentral:rRNA from 1 species
GCCGAAACCGACACAGGUGGUCAGGUCGAGUAGACCAAAGCGCUUGAGAGAACUCUGCUGAAGGAACUAGGCAAAAUGGUACCGUAACUUCGGGAGAAGGUACGCUGCCGGCGGUGAUAACCCUCGCGGUUUGAGCGGCUGGCAGCCACAGAAACCAGGCCCCUGCAACUGUUUAUUAAAAACAUAGCACUCUGCAAACACGAAAGUGGACGUAUAGGGUGUGAUGCCUGCCCGGUGCUGGAAGGUUAAUUGAUGGGGUUAGCGUAAGAGAAGCUCUUGAUCGAAGCCCCAGUAAACGGCGGCCGUAACGAUAACGGUCCUAAGGUAGCGAAAUUCCUUGUCGGGUAAGUUCCGACCUGCACGAAUGGCAUAAUGAUGGGGGCGCUGUCUCCAGCAGAGGCUCAGUGAAAUCGAAAUCGCCGUGAAGAUGCGGUGUACCCGCGGCUAGACGGAAAGACCCCGUGAACCUUUACUGCAGCUUGACAUUGAACUUUGAUCCUACUUGUGUAGGAUAGGUGGGAGGCUUUGAAACCGCGACGCUAGUUGCGGUGGAGCCAAUCUUGAAAUACCACCCUGGUAAUAUUGAGGUUCUAACUCUGCUCCAUAAUCUGGAGCGAGGACCAUGUCUGGUGGGUAGUUUGACUGGGGCGGUCUCCUCCUAAAGAGUAACGGAGGAGUACGAAGGUGCGCUCAGCGUGGUCGGAAAUCACGCGUAGAGUAUAAAGGCAAAAGCGCGCUUAACUGCGAGACCCACAAGUCGAGCAGGUACGAAAGUAGGUCUUAGUGAUCCGGUGGUUCUGUAUGGAAGGGCCAUCGCUCAACGGAUAAAAGGUACUCUGGGGAUAACAGGCUGAUACCGCCCAAGAGUUCAUAUCGACGGCGGUGUUUGGCACCUCGAUGUCGGCUCAUCUCAUCCUGGGGCUGAAGCAGGUCCCAAGGGUAUGGCUGUUCGCCAUUUAAAGAGGUACGCGAGCUGGGUUUAGAACGUCGUGAGACAGUUCGGUCCCUAUCUACCGUGGGCGCUGGAAAUUUGAGAGGAUCUGCUCCUAGUACGAGAGGACCAGAGUGGACGAACCUCUGGUGUACCGGUUGUGACGCCAGUCGCAUCGCCGGGUAGCUAUGUUCGGAAGGGAUAACCGCUGAAAGCAUCUAAGCGGGAAGCCUACCUCAAGAUAAGAUUUCCCUAGGACUUUAUGUCCUCUAAAGAGUCGUUGAAGACUACGACGUUGAUAGGCUGGAUGUGGAAGUGCGGUGACGCAUGAAGCUGACCAGUACUAAUUGCUCGUGAGGCUUGACC